GUUCUUGCUUUGGCAGUGCACAUACUAAAUAUGGAACGAUACAGAUAAUAUUAGCAUGACCCCUGCACAAGGAUGACAUGCAAAUUCCUGAAGCAGUCCAUAUUUUU